CAAAAUACAUGGCAAGAGCAAGAUAUGUACCAAGAAAAAUGGCGAGAUCGGAAAAAAUAGUAAUAAGCGAUGAAAUCGAAACGAUAGUAAUUCCAGACGACUAAGAAUUGGAGUUUCUGCUGGUUGAUUUAACAGAGGACGAAUUUUUCAAAAAAGUUGAUGAAAAAACAAAAGAUGAAAUUCAAAAAAAAAAGAGUAAAUACCACAAAAAAAGAGAUCGAGAGCAAAAAAGAGUUCUUUUAUUUUAUUAAUCUGUUAGGAUUAAAUAUUUUUGCAUAAAAGCUGCAUUUUUUUAUAACACAUCAUUCAAAAUACAUGGCAAGAACAAGACUUGUACCAAGAAAAAUGGCGUGGUAAUUUGACAAUGACAUUCUAUUAUACUUAUAAUUACCAUUAUCUUGGAAAUUUGUAAUUGUUAUUAUUUUAUUUAAAAAUAAAAAUUAAUUGUUUUAAGUAGCCAACAAUUACAUUAAAAAAUCAGUAUUGAUUUUUAUAUAUCACAUUAUGUGACGCCAAGUCACAAAAAAUUUUGAGUUUUUAAAAAAAAAAGUAUUUCCGCAUAAAAAGUAUAAAAACUCACAAACUUUAAAAUAAUAUUAUUUUUUUUCUAUAAAAGCUUUCGCCUUCAAAUAAAAAAAAUAUAAAAGAUCUAUCUUUGUUAAAUAAAUAUCUAUAUUAAACGGGCUAUAAUAAUAAAAUUUUGUUAAAAUAUUGCAAUGACGUAAAACAUACAACUUUAAAAUAAUUUGCCUAAUAUUAUUUUGCGAUUUUGAUGUCUGAUCUUUAAUAAUCCCUGUUUUUUUUUUUUUUUUUUUUUUUUUUUUUUAUAAGUUGAUUUAGGUGCCCCAAGAAAUCCUUACGGUCUUUUUUGCUUAUUUACUUAUUUUACCACCAAUAAUUGGAGGUAAAACAUCUUGAUAUAUAAUUAUUAUAACAUUACCUUAAUAAUUCUAUUUAUUUACAGAUGUAAUUCAAAGGGUAUGGAGCUUGUAUCUGAAGAUUUUAUGGAAAUUACAAUUCAGUUUGUUAACAAAUUUUAUUGUAAAAAUGCCCAAGACACAUACUUGCAGUCAUUGAUUGAAAAGAAGGAAAUAGAGAGAAGACGGUUUAGAUCUAAAGAACCUAAGAAAAAAAAAAUUCUUUUAUUUAUCAGAUUAAGAUUGAAGGUAUGAUUAGUAAAUUAGGCAAGAAAGCUUUUUGCUGUAUGCAUGGAAUUUCUAUGAAACAAGUUAGACGUUUAUGCAUUUUAUAAAAAAAAAAAGAGCAGCCUAUUGAUCACAGAGGUAAAUUUCAGUGAUCACAAUACAUAUUUUCUGAUGGUUGUGCAGGCCAAAACAGAAAUUAUGCCAUGGUCCGAAUACUUUUUUCACUGAUAGCUGAACUAGAUAGCAAUAUAAAUGAGAUACAAUAUUACAUACCAAAAAGAGGUCACUCGUUCUUGCCAAACGAUAGAAUGUUUGGAACAGCAAAACGACAUUUGAAAAAAUGAUCGGAUUAACACACCAACAGAGUAUAAACAUCUUAUAGCUGAAGCAAGCAAAAAAUUUAAAAUUAGAAGGCUCAAAACUGAAGAUAUUAUUGAUGUAAAAAAAUGGUGGCCAAAACAUUAUAAGAAAAUUGUACUAUCUGUGGAUUCCUAUGGAAAAGAAGUACCCAAGGACAAAAAACUUACUUUUGGUAUUUCUAAAGUCUCACAUUUCACAUUCUCAAAUACCACACCAGGUUUAGUGACAACACGUGAAUCCAUAGAUUGCUUAGUCAGUUAUAAUUUCCAGCUAUUACAAAGGAUGGGUACCUUGUCAACCUUACCAUUAAGUAGUAUUCCUGCAUAUGUUGGAAAAUUGCCUAUCAAUGAAAAAAAUAAAUAAGAUUUAAAAAAUAUAUAUAAAAAUAUUCCAUAUUCAAUAGAAGAGUACCAAAACUUCUAUGCAAAGGUUUUUGCUUCGCCAACAACUUCGGCAAACAAUGAAUUCCAAGAAACAAGUGAUGAUUACCUAACAAUAAUUGUUUUUAUGUAAUAAUAAAUCAUUAUUAUUCUGAUAA